GGACAACGGCUUCUUAGUCGUUUUACAGUAGCAAAUCUCAGAUAGUGUUAUUUCGACUAGAAAGGGUACCUGUGCCCUCAAGGUCGGGAUGACGCUGGCACCUGUCCGUAGUGGUUCUAGGAAGAGUUCUCUUUUCUUUGUUAGGAGUGCAUCCACCCCCUGGAAUCGGCUUGUCCGGAGAUAGGGGGCUAGCCUCCAUAAAACACCACCCUUCUUGUGGUGUCCGGGACGCUCUUGUCGGCCCUUGAAAAUCCGAGCGAGGCAGUAUAAUUUUCGUGACAGGCCGUACCCAUAUCCGCAGCAGGUCUUCAAGGUGAACAGCCUCU
rnacentral:ncRNA from 1 species